AUAGCCGUAGUGGAAACUCGGAAACUACCGAUGGAUUGAAAAAUGGACAUCCGAGAUUCGUCCAUGUCAUCACGAGUAAAAAUGUUGCUCACGGAUAUAUUGCGAGAUUUUUACUCGUAAUGAUGUGGACGAAUCUCACAAGUCAAUUUUUCCAUCCAAUGGUUGUUUCCAAAUUUCCACUACAUAUGUG
rnacentral:pre_miRNA from 1 species